rnacentral:rRNA from 1 species
AUUGAACGCUGGCGGCAGGCUUAACACAUGCAAGUCGAGCGGAGAUGAGGUGCUUGCACCUUAUCUUAGCGGCGGACGGGUGAGUAAUGCUUAGGAAUCUGCCUAUUAGUGGGGGACAACAUUCCGAAAGGAAUGCUAAUACCGCAUAAGUCCUACGGGAGAAAGCAGGGGAUCUUCGGACCUUGCGCUAAUAGAUGAGCCUAAGUCGGAUUAGCUGGUUGGUGGGGUAAAGGCCUACCAAGGCGACGAUCUGUAGCGGGUCUGAGAGGAUGAUCCGCCACACUGGGACUGAGACACGGCCCAGACUCCUACGGGAGGCAGCAGUGGGGAAUAUUGGACAAUGGGGGGAACCCUGAUCCAGCCAUGCCGCGUGUGUGAAGAAGUCCUUAUGGUUGUAAAGCACUUUAAGCGAGGAGGAGGCUACUGAGACUAAUACUCUUGGAUAGUGGACGUUACUCGCAGAAUAAGCACCGGCUAACUCUGUGCCAGCAGCCGCCGUAA